AUGCCUCUGAUGCGAGCACUGCUGCUCUCCCAUUUCAGAUCGCCAAGCUCGGCUUCGGCCUCGGGCACGUGGGCCUCAAUGGCCACCCCUUUGACGUCCACCUCCACUGAGGGCAGCUCCACACUCAGGUCGCCAGCCUUGACCUCGCCCUUUACGGAGGGAAGGGCCACGUCCACGUCGGCCUUGGGCAGGCUCACGUCCACAGAGGCUGACCCUUCCUUGCUGGGAACAGAAACGCCAAAGGAUGGCAUCUUAAAUUUGGGCAUCUUGAACUUGCUGUCCUUGCCCUCCGCGUCCUUGUCACCCAGCUUGAUGUCCCCUUCCAGCUUGACGCCCUCCACCUCCAGGUCGGGGCUCUUGAUGUCGACCUUGCCCUUGGGCAGGGACACGUCCACACUGGGCAUGGUGAGGUCCACUUUGGGGCCUUUGAUGUCUGCUUUGGGCAAUUGGGGCAUUUUGAUGCUGGGCAUGUGGACCUUGGGCAAAUGGCCUUUGAUGCCGGCACUGCCUGCCUUCCCUUUCAGGUCGCCAAGCUCGGCUUCGGCCUCGGGCACGUGGGCCUCAAUGGCCACCCCUUUGACGUCCACCUCCACUGAGGGCAGCUCCACACUCAGGUCGCCAGCCUUGACCUCGCCCUUUACGGAGGGAAGGGCCACGUCCACGUCGGCCUUGGGCAGGCUCACGUCCACAGAGGCUGACCCUUCCUUGCUGGGAACAGAAACGCCAAAGGAUGGCAUCUUAAAUUUGGGCAUCUUGAACUUGCUGUCCUUGCCCUCCGCGUCCUUGUCACCCAGCUUGAUGUCCCCUUCCAGCUUGACGCCCUCCACCUCCAGGUCGGGGCUCUUGAUGUCGACCUUGCCCUUGGGCAGGGACACGUCCACACUGGGCAUGGUGAGGUCCACUUUGGGGCCUUUGAUGUCUGCUUUGGGCAAUUGGGGCAUUUUGAUGCUGGGCAUGUGGACCUUGGGCAAAUGGCCUUUGAUGCCGGCACUGCCUGCCUUCCCUUUCAGGUCGCCAAGCUCGGCUUCGGCCUCGGGCACGUGGGCCUCAAUGGCCACCCCUUUGACGUCCACCUCCACUGAGGGCAGCUCCACACUCAGGUCGCCAGCCUUGACCUCGCCCUUUACGGAGGGAAGGGCCACGUCCACGUCGGCCUUGGGCAGGCUCACGUCCACAGAGGCUGACCCUUCCUUGCUGGGAACAGAAACGCCAAAGGAUGGCAUCUUAAAUUUGGGCAUCUUGAACUUGCUGUCCUUGCCCUCCGCGUCCUUGUCACCCAGCUUGAUGUCCCCUUCCAGCUUGACGCCCUCCACCUCCAGGUCGGGGCUCUUGAUGUCGACCUUGCCCUUGGGCAGGGACACGUCCACACUGGGCAUGGUGACGUCCACUUUGGGGCCUUUGAUGUCUGCUUUGGGCAAUUGGGGCAUUUUGAUGCUGGGCAUGUGGACCUUGGGCAAAUGGCCUUUGAUGCCGGCACUGCCUGCCUUCCCUUUCAGGUCGCCAAGCUCGGCUUCGGCCUCGGGCACGUGGGCCUCAAUGGCCACCCCUUUGACGUCCACCUCCACUGAGGGCAGCUCCACACUCAGGUCGCCAGCCUUGACCUCGCCCUUUACGGAGGGAAGGGCCACGUCCACGUCGGCCUUGGGCAGGCUCACGUCCACAGAGGCUGACCCUUCCUUGCUGGGAACAGAAACGCCAAAGGAUGGCAUCUUAAAUUUGGGCAUCUUGAACUUGCUGUCCUUGCCCCUCCGCGUCCUUGUCACCCAGCUUGAUGUCCCCUUCCAGCUUGACGCCCUCCACCUCCAGGUCGGGGCUCUUGAUGUCGACCUUGCCCUUGGGCAGGGACACGUCCACACUGGGCAUGGUGACGUCCACUUUGGGGCCUUUGAUGUCUGCUUUGGGCAAUUGGGGCAUUUUGAUGCUGGGCAUGUGGACCUUGGGCAAAUGGCCUUUGAUGCCGGCACUGCCUGCCUUCCCUUUCAGGUCGCCAAGCUCGGCUUCGGCCUCGGGCACGUGGGCCUCAAUGGCCACCCCUUUGACGUCCACCUCCACUGA
rnacentral:lncRNA from 1 species